AGCUUUCAUCAUCAGUUGCUCAUUUUCCGCUGUUCAAUUGCUCACGACAUUGAUUUUCCCGUACGGUACUGACAAUCUAGUCUAACGUACAGCGAGAAUCUCAGUUGGAGCAUAGCAACCGCACACAUCGGUUGCUUAGCCUUACGACUUCACUAAGGCGCCGCGUAACACUGUGUAUGUGCUGCAUCCAAAUUCAAAGCCCAACUGAAAGUUGUACUCCAUGGAAAUGCAGAGGAAAAUCAUGGCGAGAGGAGACCGAGACCGACUCAGCGAUUUGCCCGACCCGAUUCUACUCGACAUUCUCUCUUUGUUACCGGAGGGAAAAGCAGUUGUGCGAACCAGCGUAUUAUCUCAGCGAUGGCGGUUUAUUUGGAAGUCUGUUACAGUAUCACUCGAUUUCGAGUUCCCCAGAUGUUCCAGCCGAAAGGAGACUCUUGACCGCAUGGCUUCGAUCAAUAGAGAGCUUCAUCAUUGGAGGUAUUGCGAGAAAAUCCGAAAAAUUAGGGUAUUUUUCUAUGUGUACUGUAAGCAUUAUGUAAAAGAUAUUGAUUUAUGGGUAGAAUUUGCAACUAAAAUUGCUAAUGUUGAAGAUUUUGCUCUUGAUAUUCUAGGUGUCACUGACAUAUAUGAGUUUCCUCAGUUUGCGUUUAAGAAUACGUCCUUUAAGAAUUUGGUUUUGAGCAUGCUCAAAGUGAACCCUUCUGGUAGUGUAAACUGGAGUAGUCUCAUUUCUCUUUCAAUUGGGGACCUCAAUUUGACGGAAGAUGUAAUGGAAAAGAUAUUAUCGGGUUGCCCUAACUUGGAGUGCUUGAAACUGGAUAGUGUUAAGGGCAUUCGUCGUUUGGAAAUCAGCUCUGUGAAGCUAAGAGAAUUGAUCAUAGAAGAUCAAUACUUUCACAAUCAUGACUUUUGUUUUGAAAUAUUAGGCCCCUAUAUUCAAAAUUUGCAAAUUUUGAGUUUCUACAGUACAAUAUGCUUGCAGCAGAGAAAUGUGGCUUCACUCCUCACUGCAUUCCUUGGUUUAGAGUUUGGUCAACGCAACUUGAAGAAGGAGUGUAGCUAUUUGAAGGAGCUUCUUCACAGUGUUGCCCAUGUCGAGAAUCUUGAAUUGAGUCCCUGGUGCAUCGAGGUUUAUUCAAACUCUUCAUUAUCCAAAAUCCAGAAACUUCUUUUUCGUUUAGGGACUUUUUAUUUGCUAUUGAAUCAUCAGUUUAGUAACAUUAACAGUGCUGCUAGUUAGGAUAAUCUGAUAACUAAUUUGGUAAUCAAAGAAUUACAUUCUCAUGGCCAAUCUAGUUGAUAAGUGGCAGGAGAUUGAAAAUGAACUGUGAGAAUAAAGAGCUUGCAAUGGAAAGAACAACAUGAAAAAUGUGGAUUGAUUUACAUUGAUCAUACUCUUUUUUUUAAUAUGAGUAAAAUGCGUUUAUUAAAAAUGAUACCAAGAUGGUACAAGUACAAGUAUAAGCUGCUACUAAGCUACUACAGCAUUCCAGUCAAAACAUAUUUCAUGUUUCCCCAUAUGUUUCAUCCUAUCUAGGGUAUUGCUACAGCACCAGUAAAAUAGAUUCUUGAUACAUUUGUUUUUGACUCUAGCAAUGUGUACCCUCUUUUCUUCAAAGCUUGCUUUGUGUCUCUCCAACCAGACAGUCCACAAUAUACAUAUAGGAAUAGUCUUCCAUAUUUGCUUUAGGUUUCUUUUCAUUUUCUGAGCUUUCCAAACUUCCAAACAAAUUGCUGAUCUUCUGUGGUAUGACAGAGAUACACCCAUGAUAGUAAAGAAAGAGUUCCCAGCAUUGUCUUGAGAAAUUACAAUGAAGGAAUAGAUGCUCAACAAUACUCUUUAAGUCAUGUGAAUGGGUUUUUCCAAGUGUUUAAAAGUCCAUCUUUGGAUUUCUAAACCACCUUGAACACUUUGCUGCGGCAAAACAGAAGUCAUAUAGUCCAAGCUGUUAUUACAAAUUAUUCAACAAUUUGCAUGUCAUUUGUUAAGUAUGUCACAUUUCCUUGUUUUGACGUGUUCUGGUUUAUCUAUUUGGUUUAUAAGUGCCUGUCCAUACUGGAGUUGGAGGGUUGGCAGCCUCCACUUUCAAGCCGGAAAUUCUUAAAGCUUAACACAGCCUUAGAACAGUUGGACUUACCUGGAUUUUGCAGCUUUUUGCAGAGUUCGUUGGAUCUUGAGACAUUGGUCAUUGACUGGUCUAAUUAUGGAUCAAGACACCAGUACGUGCUGCCAUGGUACAAGAAUAAGGAUGAACAUUGCAAGAGGUUUGAGAAAAUACAUAAUUUUAACUGCUCAUUGCUACAAAUGAAGACCAUCAAGUUCAUUAACAUGGUUGGACCAUUAAGUGAAAACAAGUUUGUACUGCCGUUGAUAAAGUAUUUGCUCGAGAAUGCAACAGUGCUAGAAAAGUUCAUCAUUGCUGUCGGAUGCAAAGGCUAUGUGUCUCAGGAUUGUGUUAAACUGGAACAGGAGCUCCUGAGCUUUCCAAGAUCCUCUCCUCACGCUUCAGUUGUCUUUUCUUAUGGCCCCUCUUUGUAUUGAUUACAUUUGUCAGUAUCCAAGGAGUUGUUAUAGUUCUUCAUGCGCAAGUAAAAGUGUGUUUAUUCUCUGAUCGUCAUGUAAGAAAGCUUGCUCUAAAUAUUUUGUUAUGAAUAUUCAUAUUGCUGAAUUGAUUGCUUUUAUACUAUGAAAAUUUAAGGUUGAAAAUCA